GCUUGUCAAUAGUUCCUAACAUCCCCUGGGAUACACAGUUCUCAAGGUAUAAUCAUGAGUGAAAAGAAGAUUGAGGGAGGAACUACUACUACCACUCUACUUACUGGUUACAAGCUGUGCACAGAGGAUGUACAACACUGCUCAAAUGGAUCGGUGUGAACAGCCUGUCAUUAGUUCCUAACAUCCCCUGGGAUACAUGGUUCACAAGGUAGUAUCAUGAAUGAUAAGAAGAUUGAGGAAGGAACUACUACUACCACUCCACUUACCGGUUACAAGCUGUGCACAGAGGAUAUACAACACUGCUCAAAUGGAUGGGUGUGAACAGCUUUUCAUGAGUUCCUAACAACACCCGAGGUACACUUUACAAGGUAUCAUCAUGACUUCUAGUACCACUCUGCCUGCUGGUUACAACCUGUGCACGGAGGAUACGUAGGUCACAAUCAACUGGCUACUAGGUUUACAGUGGAUGUUUAACAGAUUCUGAAGGCUACUGAGUGUGUGCAAUGACCUGAUGAAAUCUGCCCAGACCAGUCAGAUGUAGGCCCUAGAACCAUUGGUGAAAGGAACCUUCCGAGACUGUCUCCAACGUGGAGCCCAUUUCAUAAAGAGUUGUAAAAUCUACUGUAACUUUGCCAUUAUGGUGACUACCAUGGUAACAUGGCUUAACAGCCAAUCACAAUCAAGGAUAACAUGGUACAUGUAGUUGCAUUAAUGACAAAGUUACAAUAGUUGUAACUCUUUAUGAAAUGGGCCAAAGGUCUAGUCCCAGCCGUACAUCAUCCUAUUCUGCGCAAUCUGGCCCUAGCUGAAGCCCUGGUUCCUCUGGUGGUGUGAUUUGCUGUCCUCAACGGGCCCCUGGGAUAGUCACAGCCCAACAUCAUCCUAAUCUACACAGUCUGGCCCUAGCUAAAGCCCUGGUUCCUCUGGUGGUGUGAUUUGCUGUCCUCAACGGGACCCUGGGAUAGUCACAGCCCAACAUCAUCCUAAUCUACACAGUCUGGCCCUAGCUAAAGCCCUGGUUCCUCUGGUGGUGUGAUUUGCUGUCCUCAACGCUGCCCCAGGUCUAGUCACAGUCCUUCAUCAUCCUAAUAUGUGCAGCAUGCUGGCCCUUCCUGAAGCCUUGGUUCCUCUGGUGGUGUGACUUGCUGUCCUCAAUGGGCCCCUGGUCUAGUCUCAGCCCUACAUCAUCCUAAGCUGUGCAGUCUAGCCCUAGCUGAAGCCCUGGCUCCUUUGGUGGUUUGACUUGCUGUCCUCAACGGGACCCUGAUCUAGUCUCAGACUUACAUCAUCCUAAGCUGUGCAGUCUAGCCCUUCCUGAAGCCCUGGUUCCUUUGGUGGUUUGACUUGCUGUCCUCAACGGGCCCCUGGUCUAGUCUCAGCCCUACAUCAUCCUAAGCUGUGCAGUCUAGCCCUAGCUGAAGCCCGGGUUCCUUUGGUGGUUUGACUUGCUGUCUACAACGGGACCCUGAUCUAGUCUCAGCCCUACAUCAUCCUAAGCUGUGCAGUUUGGCCCUAGCUGAAGCCCGGGUUCCUUUGGUGGUUUGACUUGCUGUCUACAACGGGACCCUGAUCUAGUCUCAGCCCUACAUCAUCCUAAGCUGUGCAGUCUGGCCCUAGCUGAAGCCCUGGUUUGCUUUAUUUAACACAGCCUCGGGUCUAGUCACAGCCCUACAUCAUCCUAAGCUGUGCAGUCUGGCCCGAGCUGAAGCCCUGGUUCCUUUGGUGGUUUGACUUGCUGUCUACAACGGGACCCUGAUCUAGUCUCAGCCCUACAUCAUCCUAAGCUGUGCAGUCUGGCCCUAGCUGAAGCCCUGGUUCCUUUGGUGGUUUGACUUGGUGUCUACAAUGGGACCCUGAUCUAGUCUCAGCCCUACAUCAUCCUAAGCUGUGCAGUCUGGCCCUAGCUGAAGCCCUGGUUCCUUUGGUGGUUUGACUUGGUGUCUACAACGGGACCCUGAUCUAGUCUCAGCCCUACAUCAUCCUAAGUUGUGCAGUCUGGCCCUAGCUGAAGCCCUGGUUCCUUUGGUGGUGUGAUUUGCUAUCUUCAUCAGUCAGGUUGCCAUGGAAAUAAGAAAUUCUGCUCUUCCGGAAAAGAUGGAUAAGAACAGCUCUCAGCCUCAUGAUGUCACAGACCUUGCCAGUCACAUCAAAGACAAGGUGGCAAUUACAACAGAGAUGAUGCUAGACGGGGGACGAACAGAUUCUGCCCUCCCGGUUAAGUUGCCGAACUUCAGGGACAUUUUUACUCUUCAACAGAUGCUAUAAAUGAGACAGUGAAGGUUAUGAAAGCACUGGUUGAACUUAUAUCACUCAGUGUGGAUGCAUCCCCUAACCAUCCUUCAAGAAUAAAUGAGAGAGAUGUUCUACCAGAGACAAGGAUUUGACAUCAAUCUUGGAUCUUUAUCUACAGGCAGGAACGGCUGGUAAACACUGGAACGGCUGGUUUGAACAGUUAAUUGGUAUUUUCGUGAAGUGUGAUAAAAUAAGAGAUGCCAGUCAUUAUCUACACUCUCUGUCUGGUGUUAACCAUGUUCAAAAUCCCAUUUGGUGAACGGGAAAAAACCCUGAAUUUCAAUGUGAAAUAUCUUUUAUUUUUAUGGCCUGAAAAAUGCUUGUUAUUUGUGCAUUUCACACUACAAGCACCACCAAAUUCAACAUCAUUAGUAAUUAAUUGUAAAGUAGACCAAUUUUUGGCCUUAGAAUUACAAAAUAGGACAGGUUGGGAGUGAGAUUUGAAAAAAAAUCAGAGAGUUUAUCUGCUAAAUGAUUCACAGGUGCAGGGGAAAAAAAGGACUAAACUAUUAAAGGAUUGCAAUUAUAAUUGAAUCACCAACCAAUUUAUUAAUUCAAAUCAAGAUCAUUUUACAUACACCAGGACCUGAUCAGAACAUAGUAUCUUUAUAUUUUAUUUGCAAUCCAUCACCAGGGUCCAUUUUCUAGUAUUCAAAUUCAGGUUUUCUCUUUAUUUUAAAACAUUUCUAGUGUCAAAUAUGUGACUUGCAUAUGCAUUCACUUCUCACGAACCCAUAUUUGUAAUGUAUUUUAUGACUAUUUGUAACUCCAAAGAGCAGGUCCAAGCUAUUAUUUCUUUGCUGAUACUCCUAGCAGGGUUCUAGCCAUGCCAGUCGAUGCCGCCCGGCAAGGCAAAUUACCGUCUGGCUCUUGGGUUAAAAUUUGAUGCAUCGCCGGGCACAUUUUUUUCCAGAAAAACAGACCUAAAAUUUGCUGAAUAUGUACCAAUAUGAUUGUAUUUCAAGCUAGUAAAGUCCUAGUUUUUGCACAAUGCAAAUUCUGCAUGUAUUAUUUUGCCAAAGACACUCACCGUUGAUCUCAAGCAAAUAUAUUACAUUGUGAAAUGUCCGCUCACACUGCUUCGCAGCUUUGUCUCUUUGUAUCUACCCGUCACUAAAUUGGUCCAAGCAAGAACCCUGGUUUAGAGUAUCUUAAAUAUGUAUUUUAGUGUUACAUGAUCUUGUUUGUAAAUUGUAAAAAAAAAUGCUUAAGGCUGGAAAUACUUUGCAAGUAGAAUUAAGAUGAUGUGGUAAUUAGGCUUGGGAGAUAUUUGUGGAGUUGACUCAGUUUGCAACAUUAUCUUUACUAAGUGUGUAUAAUUUGUGUUUAUAUUGUGUUGACUAUUCUGCAAAAGUGGAUCCAAAGGUUUUCCAGAGUUUUUCCCUAUUGAGUUUUAUCUCUGGUUUUUUACCCUGGACCUACUUGUCGUAGAUUAUUCAACAAAGGGGGGGGGGGCGAGGGCUUAUCUUGGACGUUGAUGACCACUCAAUCGCAAUGAAAAUUGGUAUGCAUGUAUCUUGUUCUCACAAUAACUCAGGAAUUUCACGACUGCGCCAAAUAUUGUGAAUGUGUCGCUUGACAACUUUUAUUUCGAGUCUUGCACAACUCUGAGCCCCUUUCGCAAAAAUCGGACACAUGUCAACCCCCAAAUUGAUUGAUUACGUGUACAAAAUCAAAUCAAAUUGUGUUUUCAACCAAAAGUCAUAAAUUUCUGAUUAUUUUUUAUUUUACUGUUUAAAAUUGACUUUUUUAAAAUGCUGUUUAUGAUUGCAAAAGAGUCCCAAACUCUUUGAAAAACAACGAAAUAUGUAAGAAAUUCACAAAACAACAAAAUGCAUAGGACAUUAAUUCUGAUUUAGCUAAUUUUUUGUAGAUAUAAUUGUAAGAAAUAAAUAGCAUUCUAUUUUACCUAUUGAAUUAUAGGCAAAAACAUAAUUUCAUACUCAUUUGCAUAAUUCUUUGUGAAAAUUUUACUACACAGUCGUGUAGUUUACAUCCGGCUCUAUAGGUACAUGCAUAUUUUCACUGCGAUCGCGCAAUCAGCGUCCAAGAUCUGAAGUAAAAAUCUGACUUGAAAUGGCCCUGUUAAAAUAGGAAUAAGGGUUCAGCUUCAGACUUUGAUUAUGUACAUGUAAGCAUAUCGGGGGGGGGGGGCCUGAGGUUAAGGUCAAAGGUCAUAUAGUUCAUUACAAACAAUAACUCUUUCUCAUUAAUUUCAGAACUAUUCGAUAAUUUAUCUUAAAUUUUGGUUAAUACAUCUAAUUGAGUAAGGAUGAUUUGUUUAGAUUUCUAGGUCACAAGGUCAAAGGUCAUUAUUUCUAAAUAUUAGAAGUUGGAUGCAUGAUAUAUUCUAGAUCUGGCAAUAGUAGAGCAGUCAAAGAUCCAUCUGUUUUUUCACAUUUUACAUGUAUAGUGCCAGUUUUAUGAGGGUUUUCUUAAUAAGAAAAAAAAUCAUUAUAUAGCAUUUUGAAAGUGUCUAUGUUUUCAGAUCAGUUAAAUUUGUGAAAAGUAUAUGACCUUUAUAGAAAAACAAAUCUGACGAGUUUCACAAAAAGAUAAACCUAAAAUUGUUAAUGUGCAUAUGAUAUUUGAUGCUCAGUCUCAUUGAUAAAUACUUGAAUAAUACUUAGUAGAACGCACCCUCUGAGCAUGAUCCAAAUGAUACAAUGAUCUGUUAUUUUCAAUACAUAACUGGGAUUUAGGAAGGUUUCUUUUACCCAUUCUUAAAUAAGCCAGUUCACGGUUAGCUCGUGAUCAACUUUUCUCAAAUGACCUUUGUGAUUUUUCAUUAGGAUAAGCACUAUCAUUUUCAAAUGUAGAUGUUGCGUAAGCUUUACCGGUAGAGUAUUCAAAUUCUAAGAACAAAAGGCAUUGUAUAGACCAAGUGACUAGAAUAGUACAUCAGGGAUAAAGUUUGGAAAUCUGUUUUAUUGUCUGCCUUUGGCACAUUUGACUAUUGUUUAGGCUACUGUCAAAUACCAGUGAUUAUGAAGGCUCUAUUUAUUACUCUUCAGCUUGGAUGUGACAAAAUGAAUAUUUUGAAAGGAAUACAUGAAUAAUCGUCAAAUCACAAAUGCUUAUGUCAGUGAAUUUGAAAGCCACCUUCAUGGUUUAUCUCAAAUGACCUUUUUCUGCUCGUGGGCAGUUUACAACCGUGAACAGGCUUAUUAUUUGUGAAAGUCUCCUCUGAUUUUCUCUUAUGUAAGAUGUACUUUUAUGUCAGAUAGCUUGGACCUGCCCUUUUAUUUAUUAUUGUCUGUACUGUAUACUUGCUUUAUAUUCAUGAUCUUAUUUUUCUAUCUUGAAAUAAAAUGCAAGACCGGCAGCCAAGAAGGUUCAUUCAAGUUGGAGGACCAUAGCAGCUGACCUCAUCCCAUUGUUGGUGGUAGGCCCUGAACCUCACAAACAUGGCUUCCUGUCUGGUUUGAGCUGGGAUCUUCCUGCCAGAAUCACACAAUUAGUGACGUCACUACCCAGAGGACUAUUUUUCAGUGUGCAGAGAGAGGCACUGGACACUGCUGUGCAUGAUAUACAACUUCCCUAAUGUAGGUGCUUUAUUUGUCAAAUUUUAAUGGUAUUCUGUGUAGCCUUGUGUAUGUUAGACAAUGCCGUUGGUUUUCCAGCAAUUAUUACUCGGAGGGUAAUAAUCAUCGUGGAAAUAUUGGGAGCAACUUCUUCCACAUCAGCAUUUUUAUCCAUAUUUUACCUCAAUUGCCCUUUUUAAAUUCAUGAAAAUCUAUC